rnacentral:tRNA from 1 species
GGGCCCAUGGCGCAGCCUGGAAAGCGCAACGGCCUCCGGAGCCGUAGGCCGUGGGUUCAAAUCCCACUGGGCCCGCCA